GCCGCCAAAACUCGCCAACGUGGCGGACCCGGAGGCUGUGCUGGCAGAUGCCAGUUACCUGAUGGCCAUGGAGAAGAGCAAGGCGACUCCGGCCGCCCGCGCCAGCAAGAGGACCGUCCUGCCCGAGCCCAGUAUCCGGAGUGUGAUGCAGAAAUAUCUUGCAGAGACCAAUGAAAUAACCUUUGACAAGAUUUUCAGUCAGAAAAUUGGCCUGAGAAGAAGCAUGACUGGGAGGCCUCAGGAAACUUACAGUCAUGGCAGAAGGCAAAGGGGAUGCAAGCACCUUCUUCACAUGGUGGCAGGAGAGAAGAGAGAGCGAGCGAAAGGCAGGUCACACACUUUUAAACCAUCAGAUCUUGUGGCAACUCACUCUCACUAGAACAGCACGGAGGAAAUCCGCGCCCAUGACCCAGUCACCUUCCACCAGGCCCCUCCUUCAGCAUUGGGGAUUAUAAUUAAACAUGGGAUUUGGGCACAGACGUACAUCCAAAACAUUUUAGAGGCCUCUUAGAAAGCUAGAGGCUGUGAGAGAUGAUGCUGGCCUUUGGACCAUUGGGGUAGCCAUGGAAGCAGAGAGAAGCCAUGGAAUUCCCAAUUUUGAAGACAGAGUCAAUAGAUUUGUAAGAAAUUAUGUUGCAGUACAAAAAAGCGUCGUGGGGAGAAGUAGUUUGCUGGGGACACUGGUGUCCUCAGGUCUAAAGAUAAAGGAGAGGUUCAGAUGAGAGGUUGAGACUGUACGGCAAUGAUGUUGUUUAUGCCUCUUGGAAUUAAAGUAACUUGAUUUGCACAGUGAGCCAUUCGCUGGAGUAUUGUCACACAUCCUUUGCAUUCUAGCUGGUGCUUUGAGGUCAGCAUUAAGCUAAGAGCUUUGUCCUGACGCUGAUAGCUUUUUGCUAGAUGAACAGAGAAGAUUCUUACGGGUGUGAGUCAGGAGUGAAAUCCCAGCUGGGACAGAGAGAGUCCUUCUAGGCCCCCAGAGAGUCUGUUUGUAACAUUGGAGCACAAAAAGAGAAACUAGGACAAAUUUUUAAAGAAGCAAAUAUUCUUACCUCGUAUGGUAAGGAUAGAAAGUCAGGUAUAUUCUGAAAAUAAACUAAAAGGCAACAAGGAAAGAAAGGGCCAAAAUCAGUGUUCCCAGCAAGCUAUUCCAUUUCAAGUUCUUUUCUGUCACCAAUUUGGAACUCACUUGCUGGCUGAAAAGCAGAAGCCAAAAACAACUAAUUUCGAUCUUAAAUAGCCAUAAAUUUUAAGAUAAGGAAAUGAAUUCCUAAUGAGCAAACUCCAAAGGCUGACAAAUAUAAGAAUCCAAUGUUAUUUAUUUUUCUCUUGUUAACUAAUAAAUGUGCU